UGGGAAUUUGGACAAUGGGCGAAAGCCUGAUCCAGCAAUGCCGCGUGUGUGAAGAAGGCCUUCGGGUUGUAAAGCACUUUUGUCCGGAAAGAAAUCCUUGGCUCUAAUACAGUCGGGGGAUGACGGUACCGGAAGAAUAAGCACCGGCUAACUACGUGCCAGCAGCCGCGGUAAUACGUAGGGUGCAAGCGUUAAUCGGAAUUACUGGGCGUAAAGCGUGCGCAGGCGGUUUGCUAAGACCGAUGUGAAAUCCCCGGGCUCAACCUGGGAACUGCAUUGGUGACUGGCAGGCUAGAGUAUGGCAGAGGGGGGUAGAAUUCCACGUGUAGCAGUGAAAUGCGUAGAGAUGUGGAGGAAUACCGAUGGCGAAGGCAGCCCCCUGGGCAAGUACUGACGCUCAUGCACG
rnacentral:rRNA from 1 species